GAUGAAGAACGCAGCGAAAUGCGAUAAGUAAUGUGAAUUGCAGAAUUCAGUGAAUCAUCGAAUCUUUGAACGCACAUUGCGCCCCCUGGUAUUCCGGGGGGCAUGCCUGUCCGAGCGUCAUUACAACCCUCAAGCUCAGCUUGGUAUUGGGCCCCGCCGCUCCGGCGGGCCCUAAAAUCAGUGGCGGUGCCGUCCGGCUCCGAGCGUAGUAAUUCUUCUCGCUCUGGAGGUCCGGUCGUGUGCUCGCCAGCAACCCCCAAUUUUUUUCAGGUUGACCUCGGAUCAGGUAGGGAUACCCGCUGAACUUAAGCAUAUCAAUAAGCGGAGGA
rnacentral:misc_RNA from 1 species